GAAAGGCGGGCUAAACCCGCGUACAUGCCACCGGGGCAUCCCGGAGGCAGGAAAGGCUUCGGCCGGACAGGGAUGGGCAUGCGGCGCAUUAGGCAGUAGGCGGGGUAACGGCCCACCUAACCGACGAUGCGUAGGGGUUCUGAGAGGAAGGUCCCCCACACUGGUACUGAGACACGGACCAGACUCCUACGGAAGGCAGCAGUGAGGAAUAUUGGUCAAUGGUCGGGAGACUGAACCAGCCAAGCCGCGUGAGGGAGGAAGGUACAGAGUAUCGUAAACCUCUUUUGUCAGGGAACAAAGACUGGGACGCGUCCCCGGAUGAGUGUACCUGAAGAAAAAGCAUCGGCUAACUCCGUGCCAGCAGCCGCGGUAAUACGGAGGAUGCGAGCGUUAUCCGGAUUUAUUGGGUUUAAAGGGUGCGCAGGCGGUCUGUUAAGUCAGCGGUCAAAGCCCGGGGCUCAACCCCGGCCCGCCGUUGAAACUGGCAGUCUCGAGUUGGAGAGAAGUAUGCGGAAUGCGCGGUGUAGCGGUGAAAUGCAUAGAUAUCGCGCAGAACUCCGAUUGCGAAGGCAGCAUGCCGGCUCCACACUGACGCUGAGGCACGAAAGCGUGGGUAUCGAACAGGAUUAGAUACCCUGGUAGUCC
rnacentral:rRNA from 1 species